AGAGUUUGAUCAUGGCUCAAAAUGAACGUUGGCGGCGUGGAUUACGCAUGCAAGUCGAGCGAGAACUUGUGACUGGAGGCUUCGGCCAAAGGGAUCAAGGGAAAGCGGCAGACGGGGUAGUAAUGCAUAUGUUACGUACCCUCGGCACCAGAAUAGCCACGGGAAACUGUGGGUAAUGCUGGAUAACCUCUCCGGAGCAAAUGGUGAGAUUCCGCCCGAGGAGCGGCUUACGCGAUACCAGCUUGUUGGUGAGGUAACGGCUCACCAAGGCUAAGACGUCUAGGGGGUGUGAGANCAUGGCCCCCACCACCGGAACUGAGACACUGUCCGGACACCUACGGGUGGCUGCAGUCGAGAAUCUUCCGCAAUGGGCGCAAGCCUGACGGAGCGACGCCGCGUGCGGGAUGAAGGCCCUUGGGUUGUAAACCGCUGUCAGAGGGGAUGAAAUUCCAUAGGGCUAUCCCUAUGGAUUGACAAAGCCUCAGAGGAAGCCCGGGCUAAGUACNUGCCAGCAGCCGCGGUAAUACGUACUGGGCGAACGUUAUUCUGAAUCACUGGGCUUAAAGGGUGCGUAGGCGGUUCCGAAAGUCAGAUGUGAAAUCCCCCAGCCUAACCGGGGAACUGCGUUUGAAACUGCCGGGCUUG
rnacentral:rRNA from 1 species